UAUACCGUGAAACUGCGAAUGGCUCAUUAAAUCAGUUAUCGUUUAUUUGAUAGUACCUUACUACUUGGAUAACCGUGGUAAUUCUAGAGCUAAUACAUGCUGAAAACCCCAACUUCGGGAGGGGUGUAUUUAUUAGAUAAAAAACCAACGCCCUUCGGGGCUUCUUGGUGAUUCAUGAUAACUUUACGGAUCGCAUGGCCUUGCGCCGGCGACGGUUCAUUCAAAUUUCUGCCCUAUCAACUUUCGAUGGUAAGGUAUUGGCUUACCAUGGUUUCAACGGGUAACGGGGAAUUAGGGUUCGAUUCCGGAGAGGGAGCCUGAGAAACGGCUACCACAUCCAAGGAAGGCAGCAGGCGCGCAAAUUACCCAAUCCCGACACGGGGAGGUAGUGACAAUAAAUACUGAUACAGGGCUCUUUUGGGUCUUGUAAUUGGAAUGAGUACAAUUUAAACCUCUUAACGAGGAACAAUUGGAGGGCAAGUCUGGUGCCAGCAGCCGCGGUAAUUCCAGCUCCAAUAGCGUAUAUUAAAGUUGUUGCAGUUAAAAAGCUCGUAGUUGAACCUUGGGUCUGGCUGGCAGGUCCGCCUCACCGCGUGUACUUGUCCGGCCGGGCCUUCCUUCUGGAGAACCUCAUGCCCUUCACUGGGCGUGUUGGGGACCAGGACUUUUACUUUGAAAAAAUUAGAGUGUUCAAAGCAGGCCUUUGCUCGAAUACGUUAGCAUGGAAUAAUAGAAUAGGACGUGCGGUCCUAUUUUGUUGGUUUCUAGGACCGCCGUAAUGAUUAAUAGGGACAGUCGGGGGCAUCAGUAUUCAAUUGUCAGAGGUGAAAUUCUUGGAUUUAUUGAAGACUAACUACUGCGAAAGCAUUUGCCAAGGAUGUUUUCAUUAAUCAGUGAACGAAAGUUAGGGGAUCGAAGACGAUCAGAUACCGUCGUAGUCUUAACCGUAAACUAUGCCGACUAGGGAUCGGGCGAUGUUCUUUUUCUGACUCGCUCGGCACCUUACGAGAAAUCAAA
rnacentral:rRNA from 1 species